UGGCUCAGAACGAACGCUGGCGGCAUGCUUAACACAUGCAAGUCGCACGGGCAGCUUCGGCUGUCAGUGGCGGACGGGUGAGUAACGCGUAGGUAUCUAUCCUCGGGUGGGGGACAACCACGGGAAACUGUGGCUAAUACCGCAUGAUGACUGAGGUCCAAAGGCGCAAGUCGCCUGGGGAGGAGCCUGCGUCCGAUUAGCUUGUUGGUGGGGUAAAGGCCUACCAAGGCUCCGGGCGGUAGCUGGUCUGAGAGGAUGAUCAGCCACACUGGGACUGAUACACGGCCCAGACGAAUACGGGAGGCAGC
rnacentral:rRNA from 1 species